rnacentral:sRNA from 19 species
ACUAAGCGGCGGUACCUCUCCUCCUCCCUGGUGUCGCCGCACAGAAUUCAGGCUACGGCCCAACCGGAUCAAGGCGCCUCCUCCUCCUCCCUGAGGUGUCUUGUAGAUAAGAACGGCGGCACCUCUCCUCCUCCCUGGUGCCGUCGUUUUUU